AUGAAGAAGAUCAAGACCUACUACAUGUGUGCUCUAGCGCCGCUGCCGGUGCAGGGGAGAUGGAGGUGCCUGCCGGCACCGCCGGUACACUGUUGCCGCACCGCUACUGGAUUGGUGGAAGAUAUCGAGCCAGAUGGAACAACGAUGUACAAAGAAAAGAGAAGCAAAGCAAAUUGUACAUGCAGGAAAAAGAACCAAGCAAGAGUGAAAAACACAAGUAGCAAAGAGUUCAUUCCUGGAGGAAGCAAGUUACUUAUGGUGUGCCAGAUAUCCUACUUUGAGUUCCUCAUAAUAACUAGAUUCAAGUUGCCAACCAUUGAACCAAGACUCCCACUAUGGUCAACAAACAUGCUAAAUUCAUACGUGGCACUCAAUGUGCUCCAUGGCAAAAGCAAUGAAUAUAGUAGACUACUGAUAAAGCACAUCUCCUAUACUAUAUUCAGUGAUUCAGCUUUCGUUGAACUACCUGAAGAAAUGUUAAGAGUAUAUUGA
rnacentral:rRNA from 1 species